rnacentral:rRNA from 1 species
CUGGCGGCUGCUUUACACAUGCAAGUCGAACGGUAACAGGGAGCUUGCUCCGCUGACGAGUGGCGAACGGGUGAGUAAUAUAUCGGAACGUACCCAAGAGUGGGGGAUAACGUAGCGAAAGUUACGCUAAUACCGCAUACGAUCUAUGGAUGAAAGCAGGGGACCGCAAGGCCUUGUGCUCCUGGAGCGGCCGAUAUCUGAUUAGCUAGUUGGUAGGGUAAAGGCCUACCAAGGCAUCGAUCAGUAGCUGGUCUGAGAGGACGACCAGCCACACUGGAACUGAGACACGGUCCAGACUCCUACGGGAGGCAGCAGUGGGGAAUUUUGGACAAUGGGCGCAAGCCUGAUCCAGCAAUGCCGCGUGAGUGAAGAAGGCCUUCGGGUUGUAAAGCUCUUUUGUCAGGGAAGAAACGGGUGCGGCUAAUAUCUGCAUCUAAUGACGGUACCUGAAGAAUAAGCACCGGCUAACUACGUGCCAGCAGCGCCGGGUAAUAA